CUGAGUUUACAACUCCCAACCAUUGUGAACCUACCUAUACGUUGCUUCGGCGGCGAGGCCUCAGCCCGCGCCCUACCCCUCGGGGACGGCCCGCCGAGGACCCUAAACUAUAGCUAUAGUGGAACUCUCUGAGUAAACUUAUAAAAUAAUCA
rnacentral:misc_RNA from 1 species